rnacentral:rRNA from 1 species
AUUGAACGCUGGCGGCAUGCCUUACACAUGCAAGUCGAACGGCAGCACGGGAGCAAUCCUGGUGGCGAGUGGCGAACGGGUGAGUAAUAUAUCGGAACGUGCCCAGUAGUGGGGGAUAACUGCUCGAAAGAGCAGCUAAUACCGCAUACGACCUGAGGGUGAAAGGGGGGGAUCGCAAGACCUCUCGCUAUUGGAGCGGCCGAUAUCAGAUUAGCUAGUUGGUGGGGUAAGGCCUACCAAGGCAACGAUCUGUAGUUGGUCUGAGAGGACGACCAGCCAGACUGGGACUGGGACACGGCCCAGACUCCUACGGGAGGCAGCAGUGGGGAAUUUUGGACAAUGGGCGCAAGCCUGAUCCAGCAAUGCCGCGUGCAGGAAGAAGGCCUUCGGGUUGUAAACCUCUUUCAGGAGGGACGAAGGUUCAGGCGCGAAUAGCGUCCUGGACUGACGGUACCUCCAGAAGAAGCCCCGGCUAACUACGUGCCAGCCGCCGCAGUAA